CUUAAACUGCACAUUGGAAAUGUCUGCACUUUGGAAGUCCAAGGUUGUGGUCCUCUUCCUAGUUACCAAGCCAUCAAAUGUGAAAUCUAAACAAAAUAGAGUGUUUUAGUGCUUUUAAAUAACUCACCAGUUGCAAGACUUGACUUCUGUUACCAUAUUCUGGAAAUGUCUAAUUUAUGCUCAAUACCAAAGAAAGUGCAAAGUCCUCAGCAGAAGCAUGCAUAAGGAGUGUCUAACUCCUUUCACAGAAGAUACAGUUCUGAAUCUGGUGUGGAAAUGGAAAACUGAAAGGUCAAAUACCUUGGUGAAUGCAAAGAGUCAAGAUUUCACUCCAGUUUCUUAGGUAUACUUUUACUGGUUGAUUCUGAU
rnacentral:lncRNA from 1 species